UUCUCCUAAUGUUUUGUGUCCGUACGUCAAUUACGCCACGCCCUUUUUCCCAAAAGCUGUUGGCGUGACUGCGAUUUACAGGUCCGGCAGGAGGCAUGGCAGGCCUUCACAUUCUCAACAACGAUCUUCAACUUCACUCUCUUAUCUGCGGCGGCGGCGACGGCGACGGCGACGGCGACGGCACUUGUGCAGCAACUUGCAACGGGUACUUCAUGAAUGGUGAGCAGCAGCCCCCUGUUUCUGAGGGCAGAGGGUUUAAUGGAGGUGGCUCCUCCUCCUCCUCCUCCGCCCCUGUAUUGUGUUAUUGUGGAACAGCGCGACCUGCCCCUUAUCCUUCUGAAAAUAUAAAGCAUUAUCUUUCUUCUUCUUUACUACCGGCUGCUUUGGGUUGCUACCCUUCUACUGCUGAGAACUCUGAGGGAGCGAAGAUUGUUUCUUUGGAGAGGGGAGCAGAGGGUGUGGCUGAGAUAUUGGCGGAGUUGCAGAGGGAGCGGCAGAAGAAUGUGGAGCUAAUGGAGAGGAUAUCGUUGUUGGAGGCUUUAGUUAAUGACUUUAAAUGUGCCUUGUCAAGGAUUGGUUUUGAAAAUUCUGAGAAUAUAGAGCAAAUAACAACACUAAUUAAAGUUGGUACAGAAGUACCAAAUUAUAAUGAUACCGAUGCGAAGUUAAAGCAACAGAAUCAACAAUGCACUCCAAAGUUGGACAAUGAAAAUGUCAACAUUGUAAAUUGGAUGUACAGGGACGAGACUGAAUUUCUCUGUCUUGACAACCAUAACAAAGUAGAUGAUUCUGGCACAGAUUAUGGAAAUCCCGAUGACGAUGGCGAGUCCUUUGAUGAUAAUGAUAGCUAUGAAGAUGAAGAUGGAGAGGAAUCAGGUAUUGCUGAGACUUCAACAAGAUUGUUAAUGAGCCUAGAAGAAAGUGAAAAUAAAGCGAUACAGUUCCACAGACUAGAAAAAUCAACUGAAGCUCUCGCGGCACACACAUGUUUGAAUGUGAAACAAGAAGAGCAUGGAAAUUUUAGUGAAGGAAAGCUGUUGCCUGUUGUUAGAGUAGAUAAACAUGGUGGAAAUGUAAUCAAUAAGAGGGAGAAUGGAAAGCAUAAAUUCAAAGUCAGUAAAAAACUCAAAAGAUACAAACCUUUUUCGGGAUUGAGCUGUUCCGGUCAUGAAAAUCCACUUAAGGGGUCAGGAAAUGUGUUUUCAUAUAGAAACCCCACUAAGGUUCCCUUCUGCUCAAGGGAAGUCAAAAGAAUUAUGGAAUCUGAAUUGCUUUCCUUAAAAAAUGCUCAGACUCACACUAUGCGGAAAAUUAUAGUUUUUGCUUCUCUUGGUAUACGACAUGGAUGUGAAGAUAUGUACGAAUUGGAUUUUAAUCAGUUUAGCAUAUUACGGAAAGGGGAGCCAUCUGUUUCUCUAGAAAAUCCUGGGGAGCAUGUUUUAUAUGAAAACCCUGGUGUCCAGAGGAAAAUAUUUUACCCUAAUCGACAAAACCCAAUGCUUUGUCCUGUACAAAUACUCGAAGAGGAGAAGGGCAUGCGGCCAUCUGAUGCAAGUUGCCCAUCUUGCUUAUUUUUGUGCAUUAAAUAAGGUGGGAGGACACGAAAUCUUCCUCAAAAUGAAUAUGUCAGGCAACAUAUGGUUAGAAACAAGUUGAAGUCUUUUGUUCCACUCAUGUGUCAAAUGGCAUUGCUCGUGAAUAUAUGUAGUGGAAGCUUCUUCUUCAAAGCCUUGGGCAUCACUGUUCUUUUCAUGGCUGGCUUACCUGAUGCCUUAGUACAAAAAGAGACCAAAUACCGUAACUUGGACCUGCUUCAAAAAUACUACAGGACAGACGACGAUGCUGAAGGGGAGUUGUUUCAUCCUCUCCCGGAGCAUAACACUCAGGCUGUGCCUGACCCAGUGCCAUUGUCAGGAAAAGGAAUCAAUGGAGUGCAAAAACUGCCCAGAAGGAGACAGCAGCAAUCCCCUCUACCCAUCAAGCUGCCUCUGAAUACACAGAGAUCUACAGCUAUCCCACCAUCAAGACCAACAUGUCCCACUUCUCAGUUUAGGCCUACGAAUUAUUCAUCUUUUCAGAUGCACCCGAUCUCAGCCAUGCAAACCAAUAGACCCCACACCCAAACUCCACUAACAGACAAUCUAUCAGUUUCAAGUUCUCCUUUCAUCACUAAACCUGCACUCCACUUGGGUCAGUUCCAACCACUCUACCCCCUAUAUUCACCAUAUCCGAUGCAACACAUGGUCAACCCUUACAUCCUCUUGACAAUGUGGUCGACUGUACAUCCUUAUUCUCCCUGCCCUCAGCACUGAUCCUUUGCAUGCCAAUCCUUCACGGCCCCUGCAAAGUGCAUAUCUCAACCUUGUCAUUCUUACUAUGGACAUCCCCCCUACAUCCAAUUCACAGAGGGGGCAGCAAGAGAUGGAUUGUUGUCAAUGGAUUCUGAUAGUGAUGACUCGGAAAGCAGUUCAAGUGAAACUGAACAGAUAAAGUCUAUCACAAGCUAUAUUUAGUAUAUGACAGGGAGAUAAUUACGAGCUUGUGAAAGGCCCAACAGGUUGCAGUAAGGGAAAGUAAGGGCGAAAAAAAUUCUUGCAACCAAAAUUUCAAAAAGAACCAUCUCAAUUUUUACAAGUUGUAACAUGCAGGAUGUUGGGAAGUCUUGAAUCGGAGGAUCUCUGCUGGGCUUGUUUAAUAAACUCUAAUGUAGUAGUUCAACGCAUGAGCCUUUUGGAAGUGUGGGGGUCUUAGCAAAGCUUUGGAACUAUAUUUUAAAAGAAAAAGCAGUGAUGAUUUUUUCUGUUUUUUUUUUUGGGUCGUUCAGUUGUAGGAUUUGAACUUGGGAUGUACUAUUGCAGUUACCAUCAUCUCCACCAAACAAAGCUCAAACCUGAAUCCUUACAGUAUUUAGGGUCACAAAAAUGCACAAAUGCUUACAAACAUCAGACCCAUGUAUUUAUGCGCGUGCUCA